GAUGAACGCUGGCGGCGUGCUUAACACAUGCAAGUCGAACGGAAAGGCCCAAGCUUGCUUGGGUACUCGAGUGGCGAACGGGUGAGUAACACGUGGGUGAUCUGCCCUGCACUUCGGGAUAAGCCUGGGAAACUGGGUCUAAUACCGGAUAGGACGAUGGUUUGGAUGCCAUUGUGGAAAGUUUUUUCGGUGUGGGAUGAGCUCGCGGCCUAUCAGCUUGUUGGUGGGGUAAUGGCCUACCAAGGCGUCGACAGGUAGCCGGCCUGAGAGGGUGUACGGCCACAUUGGGACUGAGAUACGGCCCAGACUCCUACGGGAGGCAGCAGUGGGGAAUAUUGCACAAUGGGCGCAAGCCUGAUGCAGCGACGCCGCGUGGGGGAUGACGGCCUUCGGGUUGUAAACUCCUGUCGCUAGGGACGAAGCGUUUUUGUGACGGUACCUGGAGAAGAAGCACCGGCUAACUACGUG
rnacentral:rRNA from 1 species